AUUGAACGCUGGCGGCAGGCCUAACACAUGCAAGUCGAGCGGAUGAGUGGAGCUUGCUCCAUGAUUCAGCGGCGGACGGGUGAGUAAUGCCUAGGAAUCUGCCUGGUAGUGGGGGACAACGCUUCGAAAGGAACGCUAAUACCGCAUACGUCCUACGGGAGAAAGUGGGGGAUCUUCGGACCUCACGCUAUCAGAGGAGCCUAGGUCGGAUUAGCUAGUUGGUGAGGUAAAGGCCCACCAAGGCGACGAUCCGUAACUGGUCUGAGAGGAUGAUCAGUCACACUGGAACUGAGACACGGUCCAGACUCCUACGGGAGGCAGCAGUGGGUAAUAUUGGACAAUGGGCGAAAGCCUGAUCCAGCCAUGCCGCGUGUGUGAAGAAGGUCUUCGGAUUGUAAAGCACUUUAAGUGGGGAGGAAGGGCAGUAAGUUAAUACCUUGCUGUUUUGACGUUACCAACAGAAUAAGCACCGGCUAACUUCGUGCCAGCCGCCGCGGUAAAAC
rnacentral:rRNA from 1 species